AUUGAAAGCUGGCGACAGGCCUAACACAUACAAGUCGUGCGAGCGGCGGACGGGUGAGUAAUGUAUGGGGACUGCCCGAUAGAGGGGGAUAACUACUGGAAACGGUGGCUAAUACCGCAUACUAUCGGAUAACCCAUAUGGGAUUAGCUAGUAGGUGGGGUAAAGGCUCACCUAGGCGACGAUCUCUAGCUGGUCUGAGAGGAUGCUCAGCAACACCGGGACUGAGACACGGCCCAGACUCCUACGGAGGCAGCAGUGGGGAAUAUUGCACAAGGGGCGCAAGCCUGAUGCAGCCAUGCCGCGUGUAGGAAGAAGGCCUUAGGGGUGUAAAGUACGUUCAGCGGGGAGGGGUUACCCGCAGAAGAAGCACCGGCUAACUCAGUGCCAGCCGCCGCGGUAAUAC
rnacentral:rRNA from 1 species